AGCGAACGUUUGCGGCGGGCCUAACACAUGCAAGUCGAACGGGUUAGCAAUAACCAGUGGCGCACGGGUGCGUAACACGUAGGUAAUCAACCCCUCGGUUCGGGAUAACGUUCUGAAAGGAGCGCUAAUACCGGACUCGUCGUCGAGAGCUUCGGCUUUUGACGAGAAAGACCCUCAAGGGUUGCCGAGGGACGAGCCUGCGGCCCAUCAGCUAGUUGGCGAGGUAACGGCUCACCAAGGCGAAGACGGGUAGCUGGUCUGAGAGGACGAUCAGCCACACUGGAACUGAGACACGGUCCAGACACCUACGGGUGGCUG
rnacentral:rRNA from 1 species